ACAGGGAUUGCCCUAGUAACGGCGAGUGAAGCGGCAACAGCUCAAAUUUGAAAUCUGGCGUCUUUGGCGUCCGAGUUGUAAUUUGCAGAGGGCGCUUUGGCAUCGGCAGCGGUCCAAGUUCCUUGGAACAGGACGUCACAGAGGGUGAGAAUCCCGUACGUGAUCGCUAGCCUUUACCGUGUAAAGCCCCUUCGACGAGUCGAGUUGUUUGGGAAUGCAGCUCUAAAUGGGAGGUAAAUUUCUUCUAAAGCUAAAUACUGGCCAGAGACCGAUAGCGCACAAGUAGAGUGAUCGAAAGAUGAAAAGCACUUUGGAAAGAGAGUUAAAAAGCACGUGAAAUUGUUGAAAGGGAAGCGCUUGCAGCCAGACUUGCCUGUAGUUGCUCAUCCGGGUUUCUACCCGGUGCACUCUUCUAUAGGCAGGCCAGCAUCAGUUUGGGCGGUUGGAUAAAGGUCUCUGUCAUGUACCUCUCUUCGGGGAGAACUUAUAGGGGAGACGACAUGCAACCAGCCUGGACUGAGGUCCGCGCAUCUGCUAGGAUGCUGGCGUAAUGGCUGUAAGCGGCCCGUCUUGAAACACGGACCAAGGAGUCUAACAUCUAUGCGAGUGUUUGGGUGUCAAGCCCGAACGCGUAAUGAAAGUGAACGGAGGUGGGAACCUUUCGGGGUGCACCAUCGACCGAUCCUGAUGUCUUCGGAUGGAUUUGAGUAAGAGCAUAGCUGUUGGGACCCGAAAGAUGGUGAACUAUGCUUGAAUAGGGUGAAGCCAGAGGAAACUCUGGUGGAGGCUCGCAGCGGUUCUGACGUGCAAAUCGAUCGUCAAAUUUGGGCAUAGGGGCGAAAGACUAAUCGAA
rnacentral:rRNA from 1 species